UCGGAAAUUCACGAACCUUUCGAUAACGUACCUAUACGGAAUUUUUAUUUGCCGUUUAUUUGGCCAACAGCGGAAAUUAGUGGUUGCAAUUUUCAUUUAAGCCAAAAUCGGUUCAGAAAAAUCUAACAAUCAGGCCUAACAAUAAAUCACUACAACAAAUAACGAAUCUGAAAAUUGAAAAUUCUUAGUACAUGCCUUUGGUUUACCACUCUCGGAUGCCAAUGAUACUGAAAAUCGUUUUCUAUUCGAUUGAUUAGAAAAUAAACCAUCUGACGAUACGGUUGAACAGUAUUGCGACUAUUUAGCUGAAAAUUACAUAUUUUCGUAUUUAGUUUUUCCUCCAAAAUUAUGGUGUAAUAAUGAUACAAUAAAUGCACGCAAACCGUUUCAUUCCAAAUUUAACAGUCUUUUUUAUCAUUACCAUCCGAAUUUGUAUUUAAUUUGUAAACGUUUUACUGAAUAUACAGACGAAUAUAACGUACGCAACAAUUAGAAGCAGUGACGUACCGCGGCUUAGGCGGACAAAAAUAAUUUCAAAAUAUGAGUGCAUAAAUGAGCACAAAAUAAAACACGGACAAGAUGAAAUUUUACUGUAUGAAAAAACCCGGCAUGACUCCAUUAAAAAGGCGCGUUAUAGAACGCGUAUAAUAAUUUAUAAAACAAAAUAUGUAUUAUAUUAUAUUGUAAUUUAUGCAUUUUAAUAACUAUAAAUCGAUUUUUACUAAUUUUAAUAAUUUACAUAUUAUGAUUUUGAAAUUUGUAAUUUAUGAAUUUGCAAAAUUAUUU